rnacentral:rRNA from 1 species
AGCGAACGCUGGCGGCAGGCCUAACACAUGCAAGUCGAACGAACCUUUCGGGGUUAGUGGCGGACGGGUGAGUAACACGUGGGAACGUGCCUUUAGGUUCGGAAUAACUCAGGGAAACUUGUGCUAAUACCGAAUGUGCCCUUCGGGGGAAAGAUUAAUCGCCUUUAGAGCGGCCCGCGUCUGAUUAGCUAGUUGGUUGAGGUAAUGGCUCACCAAGGCGACGAUCAGUAGCUGGUCUGAGAGGAUGAUCAGCCACAUUGGGACUGAGACACGGCCCAAACUCCUCCGGGAGGCAGCAGUGGGGAAUCUUGCGCAAUGGGAGAAAGCCUGACGCAGCCAUGCCGCGUGAAGGAUGAGGGUCUGAGGAUUGAAAAAUUCUUUCACCGGGGACGAUAAUGACGGGCCCCGGAGAAGAAGCCCCGGCUAACUUCG